CACAAAGAAAAGGACCGGAGAAUGAAUUGCGGGAUCAUUUUAACUGAAAGGAAGUCGUUCCUGGUUCUGGGAACAAUGUUGGUGAAUGUUUCCGUGGAAAACAACAGACAGUUAUUCUCGUGAUCCUGCAUCAUUCCCAAGACAUUUCUGACAUGAUGUCCUCCAUGAUAUGAGAUGAUGAUGGACUGGUUUCUGAGAGAAGAUCGAUCUCCAGGACUUCUUCUUCAGCUCUUCUUUACAGAAAUCCUCCAGUUUGUCUCUCAGCUGAUGAACAGAUUCUCUCAGAAACAAGAGAGAAAUGAAGGGAUCAUCAUUUAUGUCUGUAGAUUCAGGAGGAGCUGAGAGAGACUGGAAACUCUACAGAAAACAAAAUCAUCAACUGGACUGGUCUCUCAGGAGUUCAGGACAGAAGUAGUUAAUGAACAGUGCAUAUACAUAUAUAUAUAUAUACACACACACUAUAUUGUCAAAAGUAUUCUUUCACUCUUCUAAAUAAUCUGAAUCAGGUUUUCAGUCCCUUCCACGGCGCUCACUCUCUCAGUGAGUCCCAGAGCUGAGCAACGAAUCCAGUCGUGAAGACCACGUGAACUUCUCUGGAGUGAUGAAUCACGUUCUCCGUCUGGCAGUCUGAUGGACGAGUCUGGGUUCUGCAGGAGAACCGUUCUUGUCUGAACGCAUUGUGCCAAGUGUGGAGUUUGGUGGAGGUGCUUCUCAGGAGCUGGGCUUUGCUUCUUACUUCCAUUGAAAGCAUCUCUGAAUGCUUCAGCAUACAAAGACAUUCUGGACAAUUCCACGCUCCCAGCUUUGUGAGAACAGUUUGGAGCCGACCCCUUCCUCUUCCAGCACAAAGAAAGAUCCAUAAAGACAUGGAUGACAGAGUCUGGUGUGGAUGGACUUGACUGACCUCCUGACCUCCACCCCACAGAACACCACUGGGACGAACUAUAGCGAGACUGAGAGCCAGGUCUUCUCGUCCAACAUCAGUGUUUGACCUCACAAAGGCUUCUGGAAGACACUCCUAAACCUCGUGGACAGCCUUCCCAGAAGAGCUGAAGCUGUUAUAGCUGUAACAAGGUGGACGUCAUACUGAACCCUAUGGAUCAGGAAUGAGAUGUCACUUAACUUCAUAUACGAGUCAAGACAGAGAGGUGUUCAGGGGCAGAGCUGAGAGCCGGUGUGUGUCACGGAUGAAGAUGAGGAUGAAGAUAUCACUGCAUGACCAGAAAAGAACAGACGCACUGACCUGAUCCUCUCAGAUAUUUAGAGCAAUGCUAUAUAUGACAAAAUUACUAGAAGUUAUUUCUAUCUUCUGCUGUAGCGUGUAAUAAUGUAAGUGUAAUAAUCCAGUGAGAUCUGAUCAUCUCCAGUCUGUCUGGAACGACGUGAAGAAACAGAACAUCCCAGGAGAUGCUUCAAGAAAGCUAUCCCAGUUCUUCUGGAUCUGUUUGUUCUGUUUCUUCGUGUCAUUCCAGAUCGACUGACGAUGUCCAAAAAACAAACGUAUAACCGCUCCUUCCCAGAUAACGGGAGAACAGAAGGUUCUCAGGAUGUUCUAGAAAGGUUUUCCUCAACAUUCUUCCAGUAGAAGCUUUAAUACCGUUCUUAAAACUUUCACACUAAAUGUUAUUCACAGCAUAUAUUGAUUAUAUAACCUUUUAGUUGGACCAUUCAUGUAACAUUUUGUAAUAACACAAGACGGGUUUUAAAACCUUUACAUUUUAAAUGCACAGAGGAUGUUUUCAGAACUUUUAGCACAUCAUUCUUAGAAUGUAUUUUUGCUCAAUCUUGGUCUCUGCAGUGAGUUUGAUCGGUGAACAAAUGUGUUUCCUGCUCAUUUUGACCCAAACGGUGAUCCAUAUUGUAUUUUCUCUCUAAUGCGUUUAGCAAACAUCCUGACUAACCCGUAAGUGACUCGUAUUACUGUAACCUUUAAAUAAGACUCUCCUGUACAGGAGUAUUAUAACACAAUCAUGACCCAGCAUGCAUCACGGUAUCGGAAUGUUCUGUCUCAGGAACAGGGCUGGGAAUUUCUCUCCACAUUCCUCCGGAGCACAGAUCUCCUCCCACAAGAUCUCACACGCUCAGAUAUCAAGUGAUUAAUAACUUCGGCAAACCAUCACAGAUUCCUGAGCGCCGCAGGAGUGCUGGGAAAAGCAGGAAGUGAGCGUUUGACGUGAUGAGUCACUCUGACACACCCCUGAUGAUGACGAUGAUGAAGAUGAGCGCUAGUAAACAGGCCUGAUUCAUCAGAGCUUCAAUGACAGACGGAUAUCUGCUGAAUGAUUCAUGCGUUCAGGGAGAUCCUCUCCGGCUCACGGAGCUAUCAUCUACACAGACGUAAAGAACAAUGUCAAAAGAAUUAUAAUAUCAGCAAAUAAAAAUAUUUUACUCAUUUAUAACAUUCAUUUAAAUCGUUUUAAAAUUUAAACUAAAUAUAUCAGUUUCAUAAUCCAUUUAUAAUGCAUUCAUAAUCCUAUUAGUGUGUAUGUGUG